CACGUAGGGGGCGAGCGUUGUUCGGAAUUACUGGGCGUAAAGGGCAUGUAGGCGGCUUGGUAAGCCUGGCGUGAAAGUCUGCAGCUUAACUGUAGGGAUGCGUUGGGAACUGCUUAGCUUGAGUUACGGAGAGGGAGCUGGAAUUCCUGGUGUAGGGGUGAAAUCUGUAGAUAUCAGGAAGAACACCGAUGGCGAAGGCAAGCUUCUGGCCGACAACUGACGCUGAGGUGCGAAAGUGUGGGGAUCAAACAGGAUUAGAUACC
rnacentral:rRNA from 1 species